AGCAUCCAUCCCUUUUGUACUCUUUCUGGGUAACUUUCACUCUCUAUGUCUGAAAUGCCAUUGGUUGGAAACUUGAGUGGAGCGGCUUGUCAUUGGUUAGCUCUGAUACCCAACAGUUUCUUUUCUCUCUAAACAGGAAAGUAGAGGAUGUGGAGGACAGGGAUGCCCAUAUAUAGAAACAGUGGGAUUUCCCACAACCUCUGGGAUAACUGCCGAGCAGUCUAGUGCCUCAGUUACUCCUUCCCUGAUAUCUGAUCUGUCUUCCUAUCCCAUCAGUGGUGAAAAGUAAAUCAAUUACAUCUUCUUUUAAGUAAAGUCUGAGGUAAGUCAGUCUGUGACUCCACUACCUUUCAGGGGAAUAUAUAGUACCUUCUACUCUCCACAACUUUAAUCUUACAGCUCCUGAUUGCUUUCCUGAUUAAGAUUUUCAAAACCUAUGAAAAGCAUAAAAAUACAGUACUUUGUUAUACUUAAGGUAACAAGUUGUUAAAAACAGCUCCACUUCAACCAGAUCCAACAUUAACAUGCUGCUUACAUGUAAAUGCAUCAGUAAAACAUUCAAAUGAUAUAAUUAUAUGGCGGUGACAGCAGCCUUUCACUUUUAAUUCUCUUAGUGCACUUUGUUAAUAAUACUUUUACCUGUACCCUUUGGACAGUGCCAGGCUAGAUAGAUCCCUAUGUUUCCAGGAUUUGAGCUAAACUAAGCUAACUAGUUGUUGGCUGUAUCUUCAUCCGUAUAGUACAGACAUUAGAGUAGUAUUGAUAAUCUCAUCUGACUCUUGGCCAUAAAGAAUAUUUCCCCAAUGUCAAAGUAUUUCCCUUUUUUUAGUUUUGAAUGGAAGAUAUUUACUUGUAAUUGAGUAUUUUACACAGUGGUGUUUGUACUGUCAUUUAAAGGAUACUUCUUCUGUAUUCCAUCAUAUUCCUCUUUCAUUUCUUUUCUUUUUUCUUGCAUAAUUUCUCUUUCUGAGUGUCAUUCUGCCUCCAUCUUAGGUUUCCCUUGAGCAAUCCAAAAGCAGAAGUAAUGAACACUGUUUGGUCUGAAAUGAGUGAGUGAGCAGUGGAUAAAGGAAUGGCUGUGGUUUAUAUUACCGACACACUUAGAGUAAGACCAUCAUUAGACUUGGAACUUCUGGGGAUUAUGCCAGAUGAGGAUUUGUUUAUGAUGUGUGAUGGUGUAGCAGGCAUUCAUUGUGUUGAUUCAGUGGCAAAGAAUGUUCAUGUUCAGUGUAUAUAUAUAUGUAUGAGUGUUUUUGUUAGUUUUUCAGUGCACACAAUGGUAUGGAUGGUUACAUAAACUCAUCUCAACUCUGUCUGCCUGCAUCUGUUAUUUGAGGCCUUUAUCUUAAAGGUAUCCACUCUAUCAGGCUCAAGUCUUUAUAUCAAGAUUUAAUCACAGCAACACACCUUGAUUGCAGUGUUGACUAUUCACAAAUUAUCAAUCUUCAAUACAAUUCAUUUAAACUUGAUCAAUUUCCAGUGUUGGCUAUUAUCUCUCUAUGCUAAUGCUCAAACAGAAUCACAGAGUUGUCUGUUUCUUCUAUCUGUGGUCAUUAGGAUUAUGUAGUUAACAUAAAUAAACAGACUUCUCAAUUGGCCAGAUGAUGUAAACAUGCUGAGCUGUUGAAGCAGUAAUCCUAUUUAAGUGAGCUGCUUUGAGCGUGUUAUUUCCAAAUUUCUUCACUUUUAUUACUAGAUCUUUCUACAGUCUUUUAUUCACUUCAGCACACAAUAAUUUGUACACAAUUUAACACUUAAUUCUAAAUAUGUACUGUAAAAAGACAGGUACACAUAUUUAAAGUUACAUUCAUCACAAUGACAGGAGUUUUGCUAAAUUACAAAAUUAUAGGGGUUCCAGAAAUUUAAACACAGGUUUCUUCAUGUUCGGAUAUCAGGUCAGGAGAUUACAAUAGAUACACUCUGGGGUCAACAAUCAGUCAUGAUGUUCUUACACAAGAGAAAUAGGAUGAAGUGGAUCAAUUUGAGACAGUGUACGGUCUGACAAACAGACUAAAUCUAUAAGCAAACACACAGGAAUACAGAUAUACACAUUUAAAAUGACAGAUAUAUACAUGCAUAUGUACAAAGACCAGCAGACAUGCAUGCGCCCAUACUCAUAUAUGCACACCUGAUGCAUGCAUAUGUGUCAAUCCUACACAUGUGUACACAUAUGCAGAAGAACUUUACACUGUUACUGAACGACCCUUUUAAAGUCUGCACAGAAAAACCUCAGCUUGAGUCCCUGUAUUAGUCAGAAGACUACGCUGUGACAAUAGCAGUGAACAACACAUGUAGCAUUGGUGAAUGAACUGCUCCCACUAGAAGGUUUCAGUAACUCUGUUUUGGUUCCCACUUAAACAAAAUUACAUUACACAUACCUGUUUUGCAGUAUUUCCUGAACUUGAAGGAGAUUGAACAUAUUGGACAAAUUAAUGGACAAAUUAGUUCAUAUAUUAUAGGAUAUAUUGAAGAUUUAUUUGAACAAAAGGCAGAUCAUAGAAAAAUAAUCAGUACAAAAAAAUUAAAACAUUAAAAUGUAAGUUAAAUACUCUUUUACAGUUUGCGAUUAAGGUACAAUGUCUGUAUCUGUAAACCAUACUGAAUGUACUAAUAUGUGUAAGUGUUUUACCAUCUGUUUCUCAUUUGAUUUACCUCAUUGUGAUUACCCAAUUAGUUUUUACUAACCUGUGAUUUCUAAUAUUUUGAGUAGUUCUCUUGUUAAGGCAGGAUAGUGAGACAAAGUGACUAGAAGGCAAUGGUCAUGUAACUGCAAACAACUAUGUUUUAAAACGUUUUCUUUUCUGUAUGAAUGUACACUGACCAUCAGAUAUUGUGAGGGUAUAAUUUUAUAGGCUGUGGCUCUCUGGGAAAUGAUGCAUGAAUACAAUAUAUGCACACACCCUCACAUGCACGCAACAAGCCUGCGUCAUUUUCUUGGCAAUAGGUUCUGGCAGCAGUUUUUGUAGAGCCGUUGUUGCUUCAACCCUUCUCGAAUUCCUGUAAAUCCUUUCUCCAUGAACACUUCCAAGCAGACAUGGGAAAAACCUCUGUGAGUCAGUAUGCUCAUUACCCAUGGGUUCAAUGUAUGUAGACACACACACACACACACACACACACACACACACACACACACACACACACACACACACAAACAAAAAAACACUCUACGGGCUGACAUAUUAGGUCUUGUUUACCCCUGCAAACGUUUGGUUUUUGGAGCCUGAAAUGUCAUGUGCAAGUUAUAGAAGGAAGUUAGGCCCUCCUUAGCCUAGUGGUGCAAGUAAACGUGCCACUGCAACAUUCAUAGUGCAUGAGUAAACUGAAAAAGUCUCUGGAUUUUCAGAAAUCUAUAGCCUGAGUGUCUAUCACUGGUAGAUAAAUCCAAAUAUUGAUUGUUGAUUGAACAGGCCUUAUGCGUCCUUAUGUGCAAGACCACAUUCUUACCACGAACAUAUAAGUCACCUAAGAUAUACAUUAAGAUCUUAUGAAAGUGAAGAUUAUUCAUGUAACAUUGGCAACCUAUUCCAAUGAAACUGGCCCUGUCGUUCAAUGUAUUCUAUUAGAAUGCUACUUGUUUAAUUCUGGCAAUUGUAGAAAAUGACACAGUGGCCAAGUUAUAUAAUACACUAGGCCUGACCCUCUGUGUUUUAUUCUAGAUUGUAUUUUAAAAAUCUUUAAUCAAGCUGUUUUUCUUCAAACCUAUAGAUCAGACUGAGCAGCUGUAGAACUUGAGCCACCUAGAAUCAGUGAAAACACUGAGGGCACACAGUUUGUCUAAAUUAAUUAAAAUUGAGGGAACAUAUCUUGUGCUGUAGGGGCUAUUUUUCAUUUUAAGAGUAAUAACAUGUUUAUCACUUUUGUGGUUUGGUUGAAGAGUUGUAUCUAUUCAGAGAGAAAGCAUUAAAGAUACCCUGUUUUUGAACACUA